GCUGGGCGUGGUGGCAUAUGCCUGCAGUCCUAGCUACUCAGGAGGCUGAGGCAGGAGGAUUGCUUGAGCUCAGGAGUUCAAGGCUGCAGUGAGCUAUGAUCGCACCACUGUACUCUAGCCUGGGUGACAGAGCAAGCCCUUGUCUCUU
rnacentral:SRP_RNA from 1 species